GUGAAUCAUCAAAUUUUUGAACGCAAAUUGCACUCUCCUCGGAGAGUAUGCCUGUUUGAGGGUCAGUUAAAUAAAAAUCGGGGUUUUUGCCACCUUUGGUGGUGACGCUUCGGAAUUGGGUCGUCUUUACCUUUCGGUUAAGUGACUUAAAAUUUUUGUAUGAUAUCUAACGUAUUUAAAUUUAUUUGGUACGUUUUUUAAUAUCGAAUGUUUAUUAGGUGUGGGUUAUUUUCAUGACUCACGUCCUAUAAUUUUCCAUCUAAUGACCUCAAAUCAGGUAAGAAUACCCGCUGAACUUAAG
rnacentral:misc_RNA from 1 species